GCUACAGGCUUAACACAUGCAAGUCGAGGGGUAGCACGGAGGAAGCUUGCUUCCUUGGGUGACGACCGGCGCACGGGUGAGUAACGCGUAUCCGACCUACCCAUAACACGGGCACAGCCGCUCGAAAGAGUGAUUGAUUCCCGAUAUGUCUUUUGAGUAGAUUUAAUGAUGAAAGAUUUAUCGGUUAUGGAUGGGGAUGCGUAAGAUUAGGUAGUAGGCGGGGUAACGGCCCACCUAGCCGACGAUCUUUAGGGGUUCUGAGAGGAAGGUCCCCCACACUGGUACUGAGACACGGACCAGACUCCUACGGGAGGCAGCAGUGAGGAAUAUUGGUCAAUGGGCGGAAGCCUGAACCAGCCAAGUAGCGUGAAGGAUUACAGCCCUACGGGUUUUAAACUUCUUUUAUAUAAGAGUAAUGUGCACUACGUGUAGUGUAUUGCAAGUAUUAUAUGAAUAAGCAUCGGCUAACUCCGUGCCAGCAGCCGCGGUAAUACGGAGGAUGCGAGCGUUAUCCGGAUUUAUUGGGUUUAAAGGGAGCGUAGGCGGGAUAUUAAGUCAGUCGUCAAAGCCUGUGGCUCAACCACAGCCCGCGAUUGAUACUGGUAACCUUGAGUGCGGAUGAGGUGGAUGGAAUUCGUGGUGUAGCGGUGAAAUGCUUAGAUAUCACG
rnacentral:rRNA from 1 species